GACGAACGCUGGCGGCGUGCCUAAUACAUGCAAGUCGAGGGAGAGGUUACCUUCGGGUAGCCAAAACCGGCGCACGGGUGCGUAACGCGUAUACAAUCUGCCUUUCACAUAGGGAUAGCCCGAAGAAAUUUGGAUUAAUACCUAAUGGUAUAUAGGAGCGGCAUCGUUUUUAUAUUAAAGCUACGGUGGUGAAAGACGAGUAUGCGUUCUAUUAGCUAGUUGGAGAGGUAACGGCUCCCCAAGGCGACGAUAGAUAGGGGUUCUGAGAGGGAUGUCCCCCACACUGGUACUGAGAUACGGACCAGACUCCUACGGGAGGCAGCAGUGAGGAAUAUUGGACAAUGGUCGGAAGACUGAUCCAGCCAUGCCGCGUGCAGGAUGAAGGUCCUAUGGAUUGUAAACUGCUUUUGUAAGGGAAGAAUAAGGAGUACGUGUACUUUGAUGACGGUACCUUACGAAUAAGCAUCGGCUAACUCCGUGCCAGCAGCCGCGGUAAUACGGAGGAUGCGAGCGUUAUCCGGAAUCAUUGGGUUUAAAGGGUCCGUAGGCGGGCUGAUAAGUCAGAGGUGAAAGCGCUUAGCUCAACUAAGCAACUGCCUUUGAAACUGUCAGUCUUGAAUGAUUGUGAAGUAGUUGGAAUGUGUAGUGUAGCGGUGAAAUGCUUAGAUAUUACACAGAACACCGAUAGCGAAGGCAUAUUACUAACAAUUUAUUGACGCUGAUGGACGAAAGCGUGGGGAGCGAACAGG
rnacentral:rRNA from 1 species